GCUGUGGUGUAGUGGCUUGAGUGUUGGACUAUGAUUCCGGAGACCAGGGUUCAAACCCCUGCAGGGGCCA